CGAGUCUCCAUUGCUGUCCACAGACACCGCCUCCAUACGAUGGCCCAAAACCCCCACCGCCGUCUCAAAAUCGUCGUCGGUGCAGACGCUUUUGGUUGUGCUCUCAAGGAUGCCCUCGUCUCCUACCUUCAAUCCAUCGCCAUCGAAGUAGAGGACCUCGGCUCCGAUGACUACUACUACGUCGGCGAAAAAAUCGGCCGGAUCGUCAGCUCCUCCGCCAAUUCCUCCGAAACCGAGAUCCGUGGUCUCGUCGCCUGCGGUACUGGCGUAGGUGUUGCUAUCUUCGCGAACAAGUUCCCCGGCGUCUACGCUGCCACCUGCCUCACUCCCUCUGACGCCAUCAACGCUCGCUCAAUCAACAACUGCAACGUUAUCGCUGUUUCCGGCAUGUCCACUUCUCUCGAAACCGCCAUCGAGACCCUAAAUAAUUUCCUCAACACUCCCUUCAAAUCACCUUGUCCUGCUUCGAAAUCGGAACCCUGGCCUGAAGAAAUCCAAACAUUUUUCGAUAAUUCACUUACAGAAAUGGCUAAGAUCGGAACUACUCCGCCAAUUUCCCCAUCCUCUUGCUCGAUCUGCAACUUAGCCGCCGGCCGUGACUUCUCUCCAAUUGAAAUCAUUCCCGGUGGGUCUAUGAAGAUCGUCAGAGAAACACCGACAUCGGCUGUAGUCAGAUUCACGGCUGGGAGCAUCGAGCCGGCUCAUCACCAUAAACACGGCCAUGAUGUGGUGGUGAUGAAAGGAAGAAAGAUUGUUUGGAACUUGACUAAAAGAGAGAGAUUCGAAUUGGGUGUUGGUGAUUUCUUGUUUACCCCUUCUGGAGAUGUUCAUAGGGUUAAAUAUUUGGAGGAUACAGAGUUCUUCAUCAGGUGGGAUGGGGCUUGGGAUAUCCAAUUGGAUGAAGAUCUUGCCACUGCCACUGCCAAUUUGGAGAAAGAAACAUAACAGUGCUUUCUUUCUACAUAAGAUUGCUGGUGUGCCCUCAAUCGUGUUAAUGAAUAAGACAAAGAGCAUUCGCCAUCAUGGUCCAAAAGAUCUAAACUCUCUUUUGCACUUCUAUCAAUGAUCUACAGGACUCGAUCCUGUACUGUACUUGACUGAACAUGAAAUCAACUCUUUCAAAUCUCGACCGACAGUUGGUCGGUCAUGGAACAGAAGGUCAGUGAAGGAUAUGGCUGCAAACGAACCCUAUUUGGCAUCUUCCCCGGUGUUUAUCUUGUUGAAAAUAUUAUCAUCCAACACGAUAGCUCUAUGGGUUCAAUACAUUUCUCUCUUAAUUCUGGCGAUUUUCGGAAAAUCAAGACUGCUUUUUGGUUGAUCUGAAGAAAGCAUUUAGCAAGCCAAAGCUUUGGAAUACCAGGAACUUGCAGAAACAACAGAAUUGGUUUCCACCUUCCAUUGCCAAAUCAAGAGACAGAUAAUAAGACAUGAAUCUGUUGGGAUCAUCCUCUACCUAAAUGUGAGAUAUACUGAAUUUGAUUGGUUUGGUUUUAUUUAGAGCUAAAGCCUUGUUUACUUACUACUGACUGGGUAAGCAGUUGGCAUGUUUACUUUAAGUCACUAAUCUGAUUGAUGAUGCUGCCUAAGCACUUACUCGGUCAACAUAAAAGUUUCACUUACUCGGUCAGUAUUUAUUCGGAUCAAAUAUCUUACUUAGAUCGCAAUCACCCAGUAAACUUUUACUAGAUAAAUGCCCUUGAGUGUUCACAUCAUGGCAUGGAGUUGUUUAAGCUGAAUAAAAUUGUUUCAUGAA